rnacentral:rRNA from 1 species
AACGAACGCUGGCGGCAUGCCUAACACAUGCAAGUCGAACGAAGGCUUCGGCCUUAGUGGCGCACGGGUGCGUAACGCGUGGGAAUCUGCCCUUGGGUUCGGAAUAACGUCGGGAAACUGACGCUAAUACCGGAUGAUGACGUAAGUCCAAAGAUUUAUCGCCCAAGGAUGAGCCCGCGUCGGAUUAGCUAGUUGGUGAGGUAAAAGCUCACCAAGGCGACGAUCCGUAGCUGGUCUGAGAGGAUGAUCAGCCACACUGGGACUGAGACACGGCCCAGACUCCUACGGGAGGCAGCAGUGGGGAAUAUUGGACAAUGGGCGAAAGCAUGAUCCAGCAAUGCCGCGUGAGUGAUGAAGGCCUUAGGGUUGUAAAGCUCUUUUACCCGGGAUGAUAAUGACCGUACCGGGAGAAUAAGCUCCGGCUAACUCCGUG